UGAAUUUCUUACUUCUGGUCAUGCUUCUGAGAAAAAGUGUAGUUCUGGAAAGAAAUGCCAUAUUGCUCCACAGAUUCCUUUGUCGAACUAUUUUGAAAAACUUACGUUGAAAGAUUCAAUGGAUGAGGAAUUUCAAUGGAGUGCUGAUGCAAGAUUACCUACUUCAUCUUCACAGUUUUUUGUGCAUGACACCAUGUCCAGUGACUCCAAUCAUUUAUUUACUUCAUCUACAACAUCUGAG
rnacentral:misc_RNA from 1 species